rnacentral:rRNA from 1 species
AUUGAACGCUGGCGGCAGGCCUAACACAUGCAAGUCGAACGAGUGGCGGACGGGUGAGGAAUGUCUGGGAAACUUCCUGAUGGUGGGGGAUAACUACUGGAAACGGUUGCUAAUACCGCAUACCAUCAGAUGUGCCCAGAUGGGAUUAGGUGUUUGGUGGGGUAACGGCUCACAAAGGCGACGAUCCCUAGCUGGUCUGAGAGGAUGACCAGCCAGACUGGAACUUAGACACGGUCCAUACUUCUACGGGAGGCAGCAGUGGGGAAUAUUGCACAAUGGGCGAAAGCCUGAUGCAGCCAUGCCGCGUGUAUGAAGAAGGCCUUCGGGUUGUAAAGUACUUUCAGUGGGGAGGCGUUACCCGUAGAAGAAGCACCGGCUAACUCCGUGCCAGCAGCCGCGGUAAUUC